rnacentral:rRNA from 1 species
UACGUAGGGGCCUAGCGUUGUCCGGAUUUAUUGGGCGUAAAGAGCGUGUAGGCGGUCCGGUAAGUCAGCUGUGAAAGUCAAGGGCUCAACCCUUGAAUGCCGGUUGAUACUGUCGGGCUAGAGUCCGGAAGAGGCGAGUGGAAUUCCCGGUGUAGCGGUGAAAUGCGCAGAUAUCGGGAGGAACACCAAUGGCGAAGGCAGCUCGCCGGGACGGUACUGACGCUGAGACGCGAAAGCGUGGGGAGCAAACAGG